ACGAAAUACAGCUUGGGAAGCCUGUGAAAAUAUAACUAAGAUUGAAGUCCAGAAGAAUGCAUAGAAUAUUUUUAAUGGAGGUAAUGAUAUGUAGAAACUGCUGGUGUACUCAACUUUCUUUUCUUAAAAACACGCCAGCUUCACAAAUUAAUCUGACAGCCCUGCUAUAUAUAUUUUUUCAAAACCUUGAAAGAUGUCAGAAGUGAAAAAUGUAAAUACUAAAAGAUAACUGGGUAAUUUAAUUCCUCAAACACAUUUGUGGCCUCUGUAUAUCCACCUGAAUCAUGAACCAGAUGCAAUGUCCAGGUUGGUCAUAGCACCAUGAGAAUUGUCUAAAUUCUAUAAACUCCGCAGUCAGCGGAAAAUCAAAUUAUCCUACGUAAUCUACAGGACAGGUAUGAUCUCUCAAAAUGUGACAAAGAGAUAUUAUAAUCAGCGAACACAAACUGUGAGACAAAAAGCUAAAAUCUGUUUGCUGGGUUCAUUAAAAUAAAUUUUAAAAUAUUGCAGCACUUUGUUGUGCUGAUAAACUGAUAACCACCUACGAGAACACUGCGUGUUACAAACCAGAAGACCACAGACCAGUGAAUCACAUUAAUUAAUGAAAAAUAAUGAGUUAGUCACAGGCUCGGUUGGUUUGUACAUCACAUUUUCCAGAUGUGCGCUUUUGCCCUGGGCAGAUGAAGGGCAUGAAGAGUGCAGAUUAGUCUGGCAAUGAACUUGGUGGGGGUUAUCUGCCCACUGGUGGGCCAUGUGUGUCCAAACAGAACACCACCACUAUAAAGAUAGACUGGUUUAUGCUGUUGAAGAAUAUAAUUACUGUUUACAAUGAGAACCAUAGGAAACAAAUACAAAAUGCAGUGUUGAUUGUUAGAGCAACUUGUACAUAUGAAGAAUUGUACAAAUAAUUCCAUAUUGUUGAUAAAUUUUGAACAGCAGUAACCUAAAUAACAUUCAAGUUUAUAAUGAAAAAAUACAUUCUAUAUUUCCUCUCUACAAAACAAUAAACCACACAAGUGGACUUUGAAUAUUAACAGCCUUCGUAAUAUAGGAAAAUUUUUAUUAAAUGUUCAGCAACUUAAUAAUCAUGUUAUCGCCUCAAAGCAAUAAGAAACGGGGAGGGCUAUCUAGAAGCUUUCGUAGCCUUCCCCAGUUUCUGUAGCUUAAUUCCUUGAACUAUGAGACAACCUUUCUCCAAAACCUUGCUUAUUCCAAGUUUAUCAUCAGCUACUCAUCUUUGUAACACGAUGUUCUUUUGAAGAAGCCUUAAUCAAUAACAUAAUGAUAUGAACUUACACAUUUGCGAAAAUGUCGCUAAAUAAAGCAACAGAAAAUGUUUUGCAAGCUUCGAUUUUAUCAUUGGUUGUGAAAUUCCCCUGUAUAUGAACAUCUGCAGAGUUAACAGCUGAUACUUAAAUUGUAUGAAUCAGAAGUCUACUUUGCAGUGUACAAGAUGUACACCCCUUGACACGGUUCUUUGCUACUGAUAGUCGCACAACCACUUUCAGUGCUAGCACAAACAACUGUGUAGGAUAUUUCAGACUAUCUGAAGUUCCUUUGAGAUUGCAGAUAUCUUAAACACGAAUUUACUGGAUUCCCUUCUGCGCAAUGUGGCUUCUCAUGCUCAUUUCAGCCGGUGUGCUAGGAGCCUGCACUGCCGACAUAAUCCCCAUAGAUGGCUACAGCCUAUAUCCAGGGAUUGGCUUCUAUAAGUACUACCGGAUCGCAAAGACAUGGGCCGAGGCCUGGAAGCAGUGACGAUGGUGCCCAUCUUGUCGUGAUCAAUUCUGAAGCCGAAGCGCAACUAAUUCGUCAACUACUGACAGGAGUAAACCCACAACAUUAUGUAUACGUCGGCUUCCACAAACACUACAACAACAAUGUCUUCCUCACUAUCGAAGGGAAGCGUCUAGAACAUAGCGGGUAUUACAAGUGGUCACCAGGAAAACCCAGCAACGAUCCCAACCACAAGUGUGGGGCAGUGUUCCCCAGUGCUCUGUUAACCAACAAGGACUGCACAGGCCAAUGGUAUUUUAUCUGCGAGCACCAACUCAAAUGCCGACAUGACACUAUGGUCAGCGUGUUCCACAACUGGGACUAAAAGACCCUGUGCCAUUAUUUACAUAACCUAUCAACGGACUACCACUGCAAACGUUCAUACUCCACUAGGUUGGAAUUAUCUUACCAUAUAUAUAUAUAUAUAUUUAAAGAAUAUUAUUUUUGUAUUUCUUCUUUGAAUAAAAUUGCUAUUGAACAAAAUGUGAUUGCAGUUAUAAUGGAUACAAACACUACACGGUUUAAAUUUUCAGCCAUGUAUCCAGGAUUAAAAGAAAUGUUAUUUUUCAUGUAUUUCUAAUUACAAAAUAUACAACUUGCCAGAACA